UAGGGAAUCUUCCGCAAUGGGCGAAAGCCUGACGGAGCAACGCCGCGUGAGUGAUGAAGGUCUUCGGAUCGUAAAACUCUGUUAUUAGGGAAGAACAAAUGUGUAAGUAACUAUGCACGUCUUGACGGUACCUAAUCAGAAAGCGACGGCUAACUACGUGCCAGCAGCCGCGGUAAUACGUAGGUGGCAAGCGUUAUCCGGAAUUAUUGGGCGUAAAGCGCGCGUAGGCGGUUUUUUAAGUCUGAUGUGAAAGCCCACGGCUCAACCGUGGAGGGUCAUUGGAAACUGGAAAACUUGAGUGCAGAAGAGGAAAGUGGAAUUCCAUGUGUAGCGGUGAAAUGCGCAGAGAUAUGGAGGAACACCAGUGGCGAAGGCGACUUUCUGGUCUGUAACUGACGCUGAUGUGCGAAAGCGUGGGGAUCAAACAGG
rnacentral:rRNA from 1 species